rnacentral:lncRNA from 11 species
GAAGCUGGCUACAAUCUCAAGAAAGCAAAGUUGCAGCUUAGGAAAAAUAGGCUGCAAAAAGGAGGAGCUGGGAAGUGUUCUUGGCUGGUUCUUGAUUGCAACUGAAGAAAAGGGAUCCCUCCAGCAGUGCUAAAAGGUUCUAGUAGGUAAGAACUCCUGUUUACCACCUGGUCAAUUUUGCAGAAAUUCAAUAUCAAAG